GGAGAUUCCUGUUUUAGGUUAUUUGGAGAGCUUGUUUUAUGGGUGAAAUCACUGAAAUGAUUUGUAUAUAGAUUUAAUGGAGAUGGUGAACUCUGGCGUAACCAGGUCAAAAUGGAGCUCAAAAUAAUGGUUUAUGUAAAGUUUAAUACAGAUAAUCAGUAUUAAUCGAGAGAUUUAAGCUAGAAGUGCUGUGGUUCUUUUAUGUCCUGUAAGCAGAGAGAAAAUGGAGGUAAGGGAGAGAGAAGCAUGGGAGAAUGAAGAAAGAGAUAAAUGUGACUAAUUGUAAACGCCGUCACCACGCUGCCGCAAGCAGACCGAGUUCGCAUCGCCUGUUCACCCUCGCCGGCGCCUGGUAACUCUCAAAAUAGACCAUGAGAGUUGCUAGCAGCGCUAUGCCACUACUUGUAUUCUCUCCAACUACUUUGGACACUGACAAAACCCUCACAUUUCGAAACCAAAUCAGAACCAGAAACUUAGGGUUUUUGCAGCGUUUGCAAAACUACAAUGACGGAACCUGGAGUGGUAGUUCAAUUGAAGGAGAAGAUUGAGUUAACGGACGCCAAGAAUAAGAUAUUUGAUAGCCUUCUCAACACUCUUCACCACUUCAAUCUUAAAACUGAGCUUUGUGUAGCCGUUGGCUGGGUCCGCGAUACAAGCUUCUGGGGAUAGAAUGUUAUGACAUUGAUAUUGCGCUAGACAACAUGUUGGGAAGUGAAUUUGCUAAUAAGGUGGCUGAGUAUGUAUCGUCCACGGGUAAAAAGCCACCUUCAGGCUGAGGGGUUAUUCCAAGAUACUGUUGUCAACUACAUUUUCAGGGAGUCUCUCUAGCG